GACGAACGCUGGCGGCGUGCUUAACACAUGCAAGUCGAACGGAAAGGCCCUGCUUUUGUGGGGUGCUCGAGUGGCGAACGGGUGAGUAACACGUGAGUAACCUGCCCUUGACUUUGGGAUAACUUCAGGAAACUGGGGCUAAUACCGGAUAGGAGCUCCUGCUGCAUGGUGGGGGUUGGAAAGUUUCGGCGGUUGGGGAUGGACUCGCGGCUUAUCAGCUUGUUGGUGAGGUAGUGGCUUACCAAGGCUUUGACGGGUAGCCCGCCUGAGAGGGGGACCGGCCACCAGAGGACUACGAGAGGGAGCAGUAGCCAACCGUACGCAACAGGCGCGAGCCUGGCACAACGGCGCCAAGCCUGUGGCAACGACGCCCCGAGCGUGAAGCUCUCCUUUGGGGGGAGAACCACUGUCGCAGUUAAUAUACCCGGAGUGACGGUAACUGAUCAAAAAGCCACGGCUAACUACGUG
rnacentral:rRNA from 1 species